rnacentral:rRNA from 1 species
GACGAACGCUGGCGGCGUGCUUAACACAUGCAAGUCGAACGGUAAGGCCCUUUCGGGGGUCCACGAGUGGCGAACGGGUGAGUAACACGUGGGUGAUCUGCCCUGCACUUUGGGAUAAGCCUGGGAAACUGGGUCUAAUACCGGAUAGGACUACGCGAUGCAUGUCGUGUGGUGGAAAGCUUUUGCGGUGUGGGAUGGGCCCGCGGCCUAUCAGCUUGUUGGUGGGGUGAUGGCCUACCAAGGCGACGACGGGUAGCCGGCCUGAGAGGGUGUCCGACCACACUGGGACUGAGAUACGGCCCAGACUCCUACGGGAGGCAGCAGUGGGGAAUAUUGCACAAUGGGCGCAAGCCUGAUGCAGCGACGCCGCGUGGGGGAUGACGGCCUUCGGGUUGUAAACCCCUUUCAGCACAGACGAAGCGUAAGUGACGGUAUGUGCAGAAGAAGCACCGGCCAACUACGUG